rnacentral:misc_RNA from 1 species
UUUCCGUAGGUGAACCUGCGGAAGGAUCAUUAUUGUAUAACCGAGGUGCGAGGGCUGUCGCUGCCCCGAAAGGUCGUGCACGCCCGAGUGCCCUCACACACAUCCAUCUCACCCCUAUGUGCACCACCGCGUGGGUCCCCCUUUGGCUUGUUCGGAGGGGGGCUUACGUUUUCACACAAACUUUGUAUGCAGUGUAGAAUGUAUUUUUUGUUUUUGCGAUCACGCAAUCAAUACAACUUUCAACAACGGAUCUCUUGGCUCUC